GCCAACGGAAGGCUUUUUGGUUUGAAGGCGGGAGAAGGUGUGGGGAAUUAACUUAACUGUUUUCCAUCUUGUUUCAUUUUGCCAUAGCUUGUGGGGAAUUAAGUUAACUGUUUUCUUUGUUUAUGAAUGCCUUGUUCUGCUCCAGUGUGCCAUCUUCUUCCGUUUUGCCUUAGGGUGUGGGGAAUUAAGAUCAGGUGUGCCUCUAACUUUGUUUUAACAGAGAUAUUUUGCUGAUGUGCCUCUGAUUCUGCACUCUUCGUCUGACUUUGUUAUAACAGAGCUGAGGUCCAAGAAUUGUCGCCAAAUCAUUUGUGCUGAUCCCUCCUAUUUUCAUUAUGAUGGCUUCAAAGAACAGUAGUAGCCCGGUUUUGAUGGCCAUUUGUUGUUACGGUAGCGAAGCUGUUAUUAUUUCCAUAUGUGUAG
rnacentral:lncRNA from 1 species